rnacentral:rRNA from 1 species
GAUGAACGCUGGCGGCGUGCCUAAUACAUGCAAGUCGAGCGAACAGACGCGGAUCUUGCUCCUCUCACGUUAGCGGCGGACGGGUGAGUAACACGUGUAUCACCUACCUGUAAGACUGGGAUCACUUCGGGAAACCGGCUCUUAUACCGGAUAAUAUAUUGAACCGCAUGGUUCAAUGGUGAAAGACGGUUUUGCUGUCACUUCUAGAUGGAUCCGCGCCGCAUUAGCUAGUUGGUAAGGUCACGGCUUACCAAGGCAACGAUGCGUAGCCGACCUGAGAGGGUGAUAGGCCACCCUGGAAGGGAGACACGGUCCAGACGACUACGGGAGGGAGCAGUAGGGAAUCUGCCGCAAUGGGCGAGAGCCUGACGGAGCAAGCCCGCGUGAGUGACGAAGGUCUUGGGAUCGUAAAACUGUGUUAUUAGGGAAGAACAAAUGUGUAAGUAACUAUGGACGUCUUGACGGUACCUAAUAAGAAAGCAACGGCUAACUACGUG